CCUCCAUCCAGUUUUUAUUACAACUCUUGGAUAUUAAACUGUGAAAACCGAGGUGGGCUCGCAGGAUACCGAGGUGGGCUUGCAGGAUACCGUGGUGGGCUUGCGGUAUAAUGAGGUGGGCUUGCGGUAUACCUAGGUGGGCUUGCAGGAACUCGAGGUGGUCCUCCUUCAAGCAUAAGUUUCAUUUGUGAAGAGGAUUCAUCCACAGGCAUACCUGACCCGACCCCAACAAGGGAGCUUCUACGUGUACCCUCAGUAGACAGUAACAACUUGAAUGUCCAUCUCAGUACAUUCGGUGUGAAGACUCGAUAGAGGAGAAAGACAUCGUACCAGUUUGGAAACUUCACAUAUGCAUCUCCCCUACAAGCUCCUGCCACAAUCAUCUUUGCAAAUUCCUCUAGCGGUCCACCAUUUGCAGCACCUUCUUCUAGCAUGAACUUUCCUCCACUCAUCUCACUGCCAAUCCACCCGUGAGUCGCGAUAGUUAUACCAACGUCUCCAUUUAGCUCGAAACGCAGCGUCUCAUAGAAGUUGACUAAUGCUGCUUUUGCAGCCUACACAAAGAGAAUUAACGUUAUGUAUGCUCUUACGAGAUAGAAGAAAGUAGGAGCGGUAAACAUUUGAAGUACUAACAGAAUAAAGACUCAUCCGUGGUAGAGGCAACCAGUUUUCAACCGAUGCAUUCACGACUAUUCGGCCAUUCGUCUGGUGAAGGUAUGGCAACGCUACGUAUGUCGGAUAAACAUUCCCCCAGAAGUUUAUGUCCUACUCAAGAAUCUCAAACUUUAGUAUCGUUGCCAUUGAAAUGUGAUCAAAUCACGAUACAAACACCGAAGAUACACAUACCAGCAAAUGUGGAAACACAGUCGUGUCACUCACUUCCUCAAAGUAAAAAGUGUGUCCAAGACUCGCUGUAUUCACUAGAUGAUCCACUGCAUCGAAUUCAUCAUCAAGCACAAACAACAUUUUCGUUAAAACCAAAAAUAUUGCUUGACCUACAAGUUAACCUAU